rnacentral:rRNA from 1 species
UACAGAGGUCUCAAGCGUUGUUCGGAUUCAUUGGGCGUAAAGGGUGCGUAGGUGGCGCGGCAAGUCGGGUGUGAAAUUUCGGAGCUUAACUCCGAAACUGCAUUCGAUACUGCCGUGCUUGAGGACUGGAGAGGAGACUGGAAUUUACGGUGUAGCAGUGAAAUGCGUAGAGAUCGUAAGGAAGACCAGUGGCGAAGGCGGGUCUCUGGACAGUUCCUGACACUGAGGCACGAAGGCCAGGGGAGCAAACGGG